rnacentral:lncRNA from 1 species
AUGCACAUGACAUAAAAUUUACUACCUUAACCAUUUUUAAAUGUUCAAUUGAACAGUUAAGGAUAUUCACAUUGUUGUGCAACAGUCUCCAGAACUUUUUUCACUUUUGUAAAUAAUAAUCAUCAUCUAAAUGUAAAAAGUUACAUUUUCUUCAAUUGUUCAUUAAAAAAAAAAAGCAAUUUGCCCAUUCUAUGCUGAAUAUACUUCCAAGAAAGGUCCCCACCUUUCUCGGAAAAGAAGCAACAAAUGUUCCCAUGAGGUGGUAAGUCCCCAAAAGGCAGGGACAAGGUCAUAUUGUAUCUCUGGUUCUUUGCAUAGUCUGUCACAUAGCAGGCACUUCAUGGAGAGGUUGAUGAUUAAAUGAAUGAAUAUUCCCAACGGGCCUGAAAUACAAAUGCAGGGUUCUAAAGCUGUGCCCUGGUGCCGUGGACUUCCAGGCACAAGUUGCUGCUACUGGUGCACUGGCCUUUGACCCAUGCCCCAGCCCCAGCUCCUGCCUGUCAUAACCUCUGGGGUCUAACACCUGCUGCCCUUCCCCUUUAUCCCUCCCUUCCCCUCAGAGCCUGCACCCCAGCUUGAACUCGCCACCUUUACCCUGAAUUUCCUGGCUCACAGUCUGCUCCUCUGCUUCAGGAAGCUCCCCUCCUUCCCUCCAUCCUGCUGCUAGAUCUCUCUCAUUGAUUGGUGUCCCCUUUUCUCGGUAGAAUAACUUUUCUUCCACUCCCUGCCUCAUUCACAUUUAUUGAGAACCAGAGUUCCAUUCUGGUGUAGCAUCUCCAGUUUCAGAAAAAGUUGGUCACAUUCUGAAAAAAUGUGCCACCCCCUCCAGAGGUCUUGGAAGUAGACGAAGGUCCUUCAGGAUCUCCAGGGAAAGCUCUGUCUUUCUUGUUUCCUUCUAAUUUUUCCUUGAGCACCAGCAUUCAAGAUAAGAAUUGAAAGAAAUCAUUGUGACAAUCACAAAAAGGAGGGAAGUACUGACACACGCUAUGACUUAGAGGAGCCCUAAAGACAUUAUGCUAAGUGAGAGAAGCCAGGCCCACAAGCCCAGGUGGCUCCCUUACCCAAAAGUCCUGGAAAGGCAAACCUACAGAGAAAGAAAGUAGCUUACUUAGGGCUGAAAAGAGGAACAGAGGAGAUAGGUAAAGGUAUGGGCUUCUUUUUGAGGUGCAGAAAAUGUGCUAAAAUUGACUGUGGUGUCAGUUAUACAUGUCUGCACAUAUACUAAAAAAAUCAGAAUUAUAUGCUUUAAAUGAGCAAAAAGGAAAGGUCCAUUGCUAUCUUUAUAUAGCUGUUGCAAAAUUUUAAAAUUACCAAUUUAUACAUAUAAAAUUAUAUAUGUACAUAAAAUAUACAUGAUGUAAAUAAAUACCCUGUACCUAUUAUCUGAAAGUAGAACUUCAU